UGUACCAACGGGAGAGCUGUAGCCCUGUGAACUUCUUAAUUACCCUCUGCCCAUUCAUACACACAUUGGGGGCGGAGUAGACUUGCCUGCAUUACAAUGAACAAGUAUGCAAAUAUACGAAAGCUGAUCGCUGCUCACUUCAUAUCCGUCUUGGGGCUUAUUUAGAUCCGUAAUCGGUCAAGUGAAGCUUUGUUCUGGGUGACGUACAAAACUGUAUACAUACUUGUAAUGCUGUAAAUCAUUUUCCUAUACCCCAUACCAAUGAAGUAAGUUAAAAUAGAAUUUAUGGUUUAGUAUUACAGAAGGGAACGGUCCACUUAUUAAAACUAUAAAAUGUACAGCAGUAUUACUAGCAAUUCUGAUUGAUUCUUCUCAUUUAUUUAGGUUAUUUAUGAUGGCUCAAUUCGUGGUCACAUUACUCGUGUUGACAGUUUUUCAACAAGCGAGGACCGUUGGCAGUGUGUUAAAUGAAGAUGUAGUACCAUACGACCAAGGUUAGUUGCGACAUUUUAG